rnacentral:rRNA from 1 species
GACGAACGCUGGCGGCGUGCUUUAUACAUGCAAGUCGAACGAUGAAGUUCCUUCGGGAAUGGAUUAGUGGCGAACGGGUGAGGAACACGUGAGAAACCUGCCUUUCAUUCUGGGAUAACACCGGGAAACCGGUGCUAAUACCGGAUACUCCGUCUUGGCGGCAUCGCCGAGCCGGGAAAAAAUUGUGAUGAACGCUGGUCUCGCGGCCUAUUAGCUAGUUGGUGAGGUAAAGGCUCACCAAGGCGACGACGGGUAGCCGGCCUGAGAGGGCGACCGGCCACACUGGGACUGAGACACGGCCCAGACUCCUACGGGAGGCAGCAGUAGGGAAUAUUGGGCAAUGGGCGCAAGCCUGACCCAGCGACGCCGCGUGAGGGAUGAAGGUCUUCGGAUUGUAAACCUCUUUCAGUAGGGAAGAAGCGAAAGUGACGGUACCUAAAGAAGAAGCACCGGCUAACUAUGUGCCAGCCGCCGCGGUAA